rnacentral:lncRNA from 1 species
GCCAUGAAAGGUGUGAUGACACCAACCAGAAAGAAAAAGGUAAACAUAAUCUGAAAUAUUACAAUUUUAAAAUAAAAUUAGUUAUUUUAAAUACAUAGCCAGACAUUUUUCUGACACAACAACCAAACAUUUUUCCUAUUGUAAUUUACAUUCUUUAUUAUUAAACACAACAAAUCUUCGAAGUAUUUUAAUUAUUUAUUAAAUAAUUUAAAAACAUAAAAUAAUUAAAACAAAUUUUUUUCAUGCAAAUAAUUAAUAAAGAUAUAGAUUCAUGUAAAUUAUUAAUUACAUUGAUAUUUAAUUACAAUUAUUUAAAUAAUUUACAAAUAAGUUGAUUAAAUAAAAAAUUUAUUUAUUUUAAUUUAAAAUAUGAAAUAUUUAUUUUAAUUCAUGAAAUAAUUGUAAAAUAAUUGAUUAAUUUAAAAUAUGAAAAACUUUAAUUAUUUAAUUAUUUAAAAACAGUAUGUCAUUUAAUUAAUUCAAAAUAUUAUUUUAAUUAUUUUAAUAACUAAUUAUUUUAAUUUUAAAUUAUUAAGACACAGUAAUUAAAUAUUUUCUAAUUAUUAAAUUAACAAAUUAACAGAUUAUUUUGAUACAAUUUUAUAAUUAUUACACUACAAGAAAUCCGACCUUGUAUGGCGGGCUUUAGAUGGCGGAAAUCCGCCAUCUAAAGUGAUCCUCGGCGGAAAUCCGCCAUCUAAAGCCCGCCAUCUUGGACACCGCCAUUAAAACCCAUAAACCGCCAUCUAAAGACCGCCAUCUAUUAUCCAUUCAUUGACGGCGGAUGUCCGCCGACUAUCCCUGGACCUUUAGAUGGCGGAUUUCCGCCAUCUAAAGUACAGCAGGCGGUUCCCUUAGUUUAUAGAUGGCGGAUAUCCGCCAUCUAUUCGUGGGAGAGGGCGAUUGUGCCCAGCUUUAGAUGGCGGAUUUCCGCCAUCUAAAACUUAGUAUAAUAGUAUAGAUGGCGGAAAUCCGCCAUACAAUGUUUUUUACAAUUUUUUUUAAAAUCAGGAUUCUAUAUUGUGCGUUCGAAUCGUUGUUUGUCGAAAUAAAAGCGAUAUUUGAGGAAACGAUUUGAAAUAGAAAUGGAAAUCGAUGUUUUUUAUUAAAAAGAAAUUAAAUUACAGAAUCGUUAAACAUUCGAAGUUUUAAUAAGAAAAAAAAAAUUAUUUAUCAACACUCGUCUGAAAGCGAGUCUUCUGAAUCAGAAUCAGAAUUAUCUGAUCCGAAUGCAGACGGUAUUGUUGACUUUGAAGUAGAAGCCAUCUGCGUCAUGUCUAGUCCAGAAGUCUUCAAAGUCUUGUUCAAUUUAUUCAUAUAGGAUUUCAUAGCAUUGAACUUUUUCUUGUAUUUGGAGACGUCUUUUUGACUCUCGUUACACUUGUUCUGAAAAUGAAAACAACAAUGAGUUCGGUAAUCAACAAAAUUAUUAAAAUAUAUUGUAAAUACCUCCAAUGCUUUGAAUUUUUCCGACCAUACUGCAUCUGGUGGUGCAUCAACAGUCGUGCUCUCUGAGAUCGGGUCUUUUCCUUUCCAAUUUGGAGCAGCCCAUCUUUCGUUUGUUGUGCUCACCAUACUUGCAGCUUCUCCGAUUCCAAUUAUUCGAUUCUUCCUAUUUUUGCCGAAAGUCUUGUUGACCGUCGCUUCGAUAAAUUGCUGCGUUAUAAAAAAAAAAUUAAGAAAAACGAAAUAUAAUUAAAAUAAUCAUUGGAACUUACAAUUGGAGUCAUUGAUUCAGAUUCAGCCCACGAUUUUGCCUCUGGAGUUUUGAUAAAUUCUGUGGCUUCAAGCUGAAAGAAUAACAAAAUCAAACAAUGAAAAUAGAAAUUAGAAAAUAUAAAUAAUUUUUAAAAAAUACUUACAACUUUAUCGCUUCCUUUAUAAGUCAUUUGUAAAGUCUCUGACCAAGCUUCGACUUCACUCCUUCCUUGUUGCAUCUAUAUUCACAUAAAAUCAUUAAUAUAUAAAAAAAAAUAUAAAAAUUAUAAAUAAAUUACCAAUUCAUGACGUCUUUGCGCUAAUCCUUUUGAACCAGCGUGAUGUGUCAUUUGAUUCGCUCGGUUCGCGNNNNNNNNNNNNNNNNNNNNNNNNNNNNNNNNNNNNNNNNNNNNNNNNNNNNNNNNNNNNNNNNNNNNNNNNNNNNNNNNNNNNNNNNNNNNNNNNNNNNNNNNNNNNNNNCCUUCGACGACCCACCUGCACGUUCCGCAAUUCGGGCAAGUUUCUGCGUUUGCAUAUUCAUUUCGAUAUAAAAUACAAUCGUUGCGACAUGCAUCGAUUUUCGUAUAAUUGAGGCCCAGGUCACGAACUACCGAUUUCGCAUGAUACAUGGUUUUCGGAAUGGUCGAUUCCCCAUUUGGAAUAGCACGACGCAUGAUGGAUAGUAAUUUCUGAAAACUUUUAUCACUCCAAUGAUUGUCGCAUUUCAACUGAUACAAUUCCAAGAUAAAAGAUAGUUUGGAAAACUCAGUGCAACCUGGAUAUAAGUGUUCUUCACCUUCUUUUAGACGGCGUAAGAACGAAUCGUCAUAUCUCUGCUCUGGAUCUUCGUCGACUGGAUCGACAUCGACUGGAUCUUCAUGGACAGGUUCGUAUUCGAGAGGUUCUGUUUCGAGAAAAUCUUCGUCGACUGUAUUGUCAACUACAUGUUCUCCGUAAACCGCACGAACCAAUCCAAUCAUAUCGUUACCAGUUUCCGGCACUGUUUCUUUUCGUUUCACUUUUUUCUCACCAUAUCUACNNNNNNNNNNNNNNNNNNNNNNNNNNNNNNNNNNNNNNNNNNNNNNNNNNNNNNNNNNNNNNNNNNNNNNNNNNNNNNNNNNNNNNNNNNNNNNNNNNNNCGGUAACUCUCCGUGACGCGUCCAACCAUCGUAAUGUUUCAACCAACCAUUUAUGAAAAUAUGCUUCCUCAUCUCCUUUAUAGGAAUCACUUCACUAUUAGUGCAGGACGAGCAUGGACAUGGUAAAUAACCUUCUGGGUGAGUCGAAUUCGAAAUGGCGAAAUUAGUGAAAGCUGUUAACCCUUCGCCGUAUUCUUUCGAAAACCGAUCUAAACUCAUCCAAGCUUUAUCGGGUACUUUCAUAACGUUCGACAUUAUCCUAAAAAUUUUAUCGAAUUAUAAUUAAUUAGAUAAAAAUUAAUUGACUAUUAUAAUAUUAGUUAUAGUUCAAUUUUUUUGGGAAAAUCUAUCUAAUUAUUGAACUAGCUAGCUAGGUACGUAAUCUAGCUAGUUCAAUUUUUUAUAGGCCGGUGAUGGGUGAACCGGGAGAUAAAAUCGGAAAGCAUCUUGGGGAUUGGGUGGUAGAGCGUCCUCCGACGAGGUAAUUGCUUCACUCAACGUGGCAUUUCUUAAAAUCUAAAAAAAUAUUAAAUUAAUUAAUUAAAUAUUUUUUAAACAAAGAAAUAAUUAAUUAAUUAAUCAAUUAAUUAAUUAAUUAAUUAAUUAAUCAAUACAUAAUAAUUACUAAUUAAUUAACAAAUUUUUAUUUUCAGGCAAAUUAAUCAUUAACAUUUCAAUUUCAUAAUUACUAUUAACAAAUAAUUAGCAAAUUAAUAAUUUUUAUUUCAAUUUAAAAUCAUUCUAUUUCAUAAUUAUUCAUUAACAUUUCUAAUAUUUCAUUCAAUUUAAUUAAUCAUUAUUAAUUCAAUUUAAAAUCAUUCUAUUUCAUAAUUAUUCAUUAACAUUUCUAAUAUUUCAUGCAAUUUAAUUAAUCAUUAUUAAUUCAAUUUAAAAUCAUUCAAUUUAAUUAAAAAAUAAUUAAUUAAUUAUUUUAUGCAAAUUAAUAAUUAUUGAUAAAAUUUAAAAUAAUUCAAUUUCAUAAUUAUUAAUUAACAAUUUCAUGCAAAUUAAUUAUUAUUGAUAGCAUUUAAAAUCAGUCAAUUUAAUAAUUACUAAUUAACAAAUUUAUAUUUACAUGCAUGCAAAUUCAAUAAAUAUUUUUAAAACAAAAAGAUUAAAAAAAAUUUAUAAUUUUCAUACCGCAAUAUAGCUUAAUUCAAUCCAAAUUUAUUGGAUUCUUGAUUUUUCAAAACCUACAUCAAGUCAACAACAUCAAGUCAAAUAAUUUUUUAUUUAUUUCAACAAAAUUAUUAUUUAUUUAAUUUAAAAAAAGAAAAUAAUUAAAACAAAUUAUUUUUUAAUUUCAAACAUGAAAAUAAUUUUUUUUUUUUAAAACAAAUUAUUAUUUAUUUAAUUCAUAACAGUAAAUAAUAUAAAGAAUUUCAGUAAUUUUAAAAUUAUUUAAAACAGUAUUUUAAUUAUUUUAAUAACUAAUUAUUUUAAUUUCGAAAUAUUAAGAAAUAAGAAAUAAUUAUUUUAAUUAUUAUUAAAAACAGUAAUUAAAAAAUCGAGGCGAGCAAUUCGAUUUUUUAAUGUAUUUUAAUUAUUAUUAUAAACAGUAAUUAAAUAAUUUCUAAUUAUUUAAUUACCAAUUUCAUUAACAAAUUAUUUUGAUACAAUUUAAUAAUUAUUACUUAACAAAUUAAAAUUUCACGGAAAUUAAUUACUUACAAGUAUAAGACAAAAAACUAAUUUUAUUACUAAAUUUAUUUUUAUUUUUUUAAAACAAAUUAUUAUUUAUUUAAUUCAUAACAGUAAAUAAUAUAAAGAAUUUCAGUAAUUUUAAAUUUAUUUAAAAACAGUAAUUUAUUUAUUUAAAUAAAUAUUAAUUAUUUAAUUAUUUCAAAAUAUUGUUUUAUUCGCUAUUUCAUCAAUAAAUGAUUUCUAUAAUGUUACCAAAACGAACAAUCGAGGCGAGCAAGGCAAUCGGACACGAGCACGGCUGUCGGAGGAGGCGGAAAAACUAACACAAUACAUUAAAAAAUUACUAAAUAACUAUAAAGCAAUAUAAACAUGUAAAAUUAUAAACCCAAUCAACUAAUAAACAUUAGAC